rnacentral:rRNA from 1 species
UACGGAGGGUGCAAGCGUUAUCCGGAUUUAUUGGGUUUAAAGGGUGCGUAGGCGGUGGUUUAAGUCAGUGGUGAAAUUCUGCAGCUUAACUGUAGCAUUGCCAUUGAAACUGAAUUACUUGAGGUAUCUUGAGGUAGGCGGAAUGUGUAGUGUAGCGGUGAAAUGCUUAGAUAUUACACAGAACACCGAUUGCGAAGGCAGCUUACUAAGGGUACACUGACGCUGAGGCACGAAAGCGUGGGGAUCGAACAGG